GAUUAUCGAAGGAAAGACCUUAAUUCAUAAUC
rfam:Flavobacterium indicum GPTSA100-9 complete genome